rnacentral:rRNA from 1 species
AUGGGAGGGUGGGAGGUCGAAGUGACAGCGGCCGAAGCGCACUGGAGGGGUCGUGCGCAUGGGGUCUGUCUGGCCCGUGUGCACGGGGUGCUCUGUGAGCGGACGAACUGCUCCGGAUCCAUGGGUAAUCUCGAAAUUGGGGUCAAAAUCGAAGGAUGGAAGGUAGGGGAAGGUGGAGGAAAGCUAGAUCCACUUGAAACCAAGCAAAUCCAUGGAUCAAAUCCAACAAAACCUCAUCAAACCAACAAAUCAAAAAAAAAUGGGGCUAUUUUUGGUGGGGAAUUUUCGAAAUUGGGCAAGAACAAGCAAAAUUAG